ACUUUAUGAGACUAAAAGAAGUGUGGCACAGACCGCGGAAACAUUCCUUGUGGCCUUCCUUCUGAGAAAAGA